rnacentral:rRNA from 1 species
GCGGCCGCUCCGGUUGAUCCGGCAGAGGUCACUGCUAUCGGUGUUCGAUUAAGCCAUGCGAGUCGAGGGGGGUCAUGCCCUCGGCGGUCUGCUCAGUAACACGUGGACAACUUACCCAAGAGUCCGGGAUAACCUCGGGAAACUGGGGAUAAUACCGGAUAGAUCAUCUGUGCUGGAAGGCUGGGUGGUUGAAACUUCCGGGGCUUUUGGAUGGGUCUGCGGCUGAUUAGGUUGUUGCCGGUGUAACGUACCGUCAAGCCUGUAAUCAGUACGGGUUGUGGGAGCAAGAGCCCGGAGAUGGGUUCUGAGACACGAAUCCAGGCCCUACGGGGCGCAGCAGGCCCGAAAACUCUACAAUGCAGGCAACUGCGAUAGGGGAACAUCGAGUGAUCCUCAUAUUGGGGGUCUGUCCACCCGUCUAAAAAACGGGUGUUAGCAAGGGCCGGGCAAGACCGGUGCCAGCCGCCGCGGUAAUACCGGCGGCUCGAGUGGUGGCCGAUAUUAUUGAGUCUAAAGGGUCCGUAGCCGGCUUUGCAAGUCUCUCGGGAAAUCCAGCGGCUUAACCGUUGGCCGUCCGGGGGGGUACUACAUUGCUUGGGACUGGGAGAGGUAGGAGGUUCUCAGGGGGUAGGAGUGAAAUCCUGUAAUCCUUUGGGGACCACCGGUGGCGAAGGCGUCCUACCAGAACAGGUCCGACGGUGAGGGACGAAAGCUAGGGGCACGAACCGGAUUAGAUACCCGGGUAGUCCUAGCCGUAAACGAUGCUCGCUAGGUGUCACAACAGUCGUGAAUUGUUGUGGUGCCGUAGGGAAGCCGUGAAGCGAGCCACUUGGGAGGUACGACCGCAAGGUUGAAACUUAAAGGAAUUGGCGGGGGAGCACCACAACGGGUGGAGCCUGCGGUUUAAUGGACUCAACGCCGGGAAGCUUACCGGGAUCGACAGUUGUAUGAAGGCCAGGCUGAAGACCUUGCCGGACUAUCUGAGAGGAGGUGCAUGGCCGUCGUCAGUUCGUACCGUGAGGCGUCCUGUUAAGUCAGGCAACGAGCGAGACCC